rnacentral:rRNA from 1 species
ACGAACGUUGGCGGCGUGGAUUAGGCAUGCAAGUCGUACGCGAAAGAGGGGGCAACCCCUUGAGUAAAGUGGCGAACGGGUGAGUAACGCGUAGGAAACCUGCCUUCGAGAGUGGGGAUAACACUCCGUAACGGGGUGCUAAUACCGAAUGACACUGGCGGGAUCGCAUGGUUCUGCAGUCAAAGGUGGCCUCUGCUCGCAAGCUACCGCUCAAAGAUGGUCCUG